UUUUGGACAAUGGGGGCAACCCUGAUCCAGCAAUGCCGCGUGAGUGAAGAAGGCCUUCGGGUUGUAAAGCUCUUUUGUCAGGCAAGAAACACCGGCUCUAACACAGUCCGGGAAUGACGGUACCUGAAGAAUAAGCACCGGCUAACUACGUGCCAGCAGCCGCGGUAAUACGUAGGGCGCAAGCGUUAAUCGGAAUUACUGGGCGUAAAGGGCGUGUAGGCGGUACCAUAAGUCAGAUGUGAAAGCCCUAGGCUUAACCUAGGAAUUGCAUUUGAAACUGUGGAACUAGAGAUCGAGAGAGGUAAGUGGAAUUACGAGUGUAGAGGUGAGAUUCGUAGAUAUUCGUAAGAACACCAGGGCGAAGGCGACUUACGGCUCGAUACGACGCUAGAGGCGCGAGG
rnacentral:rRNA from 1 species